rnacentral:rRNA from 1 species
AACCUGGUGAUCUGCCAGUAGUCAUAUGCUUCGUUCAAGGGCUAAGCCAUGCAUGUCUCAGCGCGCGCGGAUUCCAGAGUGGAUCUGUGAAUGGCUCCUUACAUCAGCAGUGGUCUCGGCGGAAAGGCAGCUCUGUCCCUGAACUUGGACCCGGCUCACUUGGACAUCCGCAAAAACCUUGUGGCUGAUACACGGUCGACUCUGUCCGCUGCGAAAGGCCAGUGCCACAGCUCUGCUGCUGGUGCUGCGCCGCGGUUUGGAUUGCGUGCAGUCGCCUUGCAAGACCAUGCGCCAGGCCAAUGGCAGCAUUCCCGGCUGAGUCAGGCUGUUCCGUCGUGGCUAGUCCGUUCUGGCAGAGUGCGGCUUCGGCCGCUUGCUUGACCGCUCGAACUUCUGGCCUAUCAGCUUGAUCGUGGUGCAGUGGACCACAAUGGCAUUAACGGGUCACGAGGAAUCUGGGUUCGAUUUCGGAGAGGGAGCCUGAGAAACGGCUACCACUGCCAAGGCGGGCAGCAGGCGCGCAAAUUGCCCAAUGCCAAAGCAGUCUCGGCGAGGCAGCGACGAACUGCAGCAAUUCGGCUGGCUCCAACAGCCAGCCGAACUUGGAAUGGAUGCUAUCCAAACCCAGCCAUGAGCAACAAGUGGAGGGCAAGUCUGGUGCCAGCAGCUGCGGUAAUUCCAGCUCCGAGAGCGUAUACUGACCUUGCUGCGGUUAAAGCACUUGUAGUCCGCCUCUGGGCUGCAGGUCUGUUCGGGGCCGUGCUGGUUGUGGCCUUCGGGCCGUGGCCGGUCGGAUACAACCCCGGACAGUAUGACCCUGCGCCCAACUUCACCGCCGAUGGUUCGACUGUCCCUGCUCUAAGCCCACUUCAGUGUGGGUCGAGGUGAUGUCUGCACCCAACGCGUGCUGUGCCAAGUUGUGAGACUCAGUCCUGUGCUGAGCAUGAACUCCAGGCCAUCACCGGGAUCAACCAUCAGGCAACCCUGGAAAACUCAGUGUGCUCAAGCGUCCGUCUUGGCUGGAUGCUCCUCCGUGGAAUUGCAUAGCAUCGAUCGAAUCCUUGGCUCGGAGUUGUGCUGGCCUUGGCCCGAUUCGGAGAAUGUGGGUUCCGUUGCCCUGGCUGCGAAGGGUUGGCUCGGCUCCGGCUGGCCUGGCCCCAAGUGGUCAGUGGUGCGGUUCCCAAACGGCAGCGAUGGGACGGCCCUGAGUGAAAGAUACCGCAGCGCCAGAGGUGAAAUUCUUAGACCGCUGCGUGACUAUCUGCAGCGAAGGCGCUCUGCUGUGGCCUGUCCGUCGAUCAAGAAUGGGAGCUUGGGGAACAAAGAUGAUCAGACACCGUCGUAAUCCAGGCCUAAACCCUGUCGGCUCGGCAUCGGAUCGGCAAGUACCUGCACUGGUUCGGCGCUCUGCCCCCUCACCGAGAAAUCCAAGCCUGGAUUCUGGGGGGUCUACGGUCGCAAGGCUGAAACUUAAAGGAAUUGACGGAAUGGCCCCCCAAGACGUGGAGUAUGCGGCUUAAUUUGACUCAACACGGGGAAUGUUACCAGGUCAGGACGUGGCCAGGAUGGACAGACCGAGCGCUCUUUCUUGAUUCCUCGGCGGGUGGUGCAUGGCCGCUCCUGAUUCGUGGAGUGAUUUGUCUGCUUGAUUGCGUCAACGAGUGAGACAUCCGCCUUCCACUAGCCGCAGUCCCGCAUCUGUAGGGUGGCGUGGCCUGGUUGUGGCUGUGGCCGGCUCGCCGGUUCGGUUCGGUCAGGCUGUGUCCCUGAGGGACUGCGUUUCGCUUCUCUGAGGUGCUGCGGCCGUUGCCAAGGCCACGCAUGCUGGAGCCAACAGCAGGUCAGUGAUGCUCCCAGAUGUUCUGGGCCGCACGCGCACUACAGUGACUCAGCGAGCGUGUUUCGUCAACCCUCUCUCGGGGGACCUGAGCCGCAAGGCUUGGGAAAUCAUGGAAGUCUGAGCCGUCCUUGGGACAGAUGCUUGCAACUGUUCGUCUCGAACCAGGAAUGCCUCGUAGGGCUCUGUCAUCAGCGAAGCCCGAUUGCGUCCCUGCCAUUUGUACACACCGCCCGUCGUUGCUACCGACGAAGUUGUGGCAGAGUUCUCAGGAAAUCCCCCGUCGUUCGCGGCGGUCUCGGGCUUGAACUUGGGCGAUGCCGCGGCUAGAGGAAGCAAAAGUCGAACAAGGUGUU